AGAGUUUGAUCCUGGCUCAGAAUCAACGCUGGCGGCGUGCCUCAGACAUGCAAGUCGAACGAGAAAGUUCCCUUCGGGGAAUGAGUAAAGUGGCGCACGGGUGAGUAACACGUAGGUAAUCUACCUUCGGGUGGGGAAUAACGCAGGGAAACUUGCGCUAACACCGCAUAAUGCAGCGGCACCACAUGGUGACAGUUGUUAAAGCGGGGGAUUUUAGGACCUCGCGCCUGAAGAGGAGCCUGCGGCGGAUUAGCUAGUUGGUAGGGUAACGGCUUACCAAGGCGACGAUCCGUAACCGGCCUGAGAGGGCGGUCGGUCACACUGACACUGACAUACGGGUCAGACUCCUACAGGAGGCAGCAGUCGGGAAUUUUGGGCAAUGGGCGAAAGCCUGACCCAGCAACGCCGCGUGAAGGAUGAAAUCCUUCGGGAUGUAAACUUCGCAAGAAUGGGAAGAAUGAGCGAACGCUAAUACCGUUCGUGAUGACGGUACCAUUUGUAAGCUCCGGCUAACUCCGUGCCAGCAGCCGCGGUAAUACGGGGGGAGCAAGCGUUGUUCGGAUUUACUGGGCGUAAAGGGCGCGUAGGCGGCCAGCGCAAGUCAGUUGUGAAAUCUCCGGGCUUAACUCGGAAAGGUCAACUGAUACUGCGCGGCUAGAGUGCAGAAGGGGCAACUGGAAUUCUCGGUGUAGCGGUGAAAUGCGUAGAUAUCGAGAGGAACACCUGCGGCGAAGGCGGGUUGCUGGGCUGACACUGACGCUGAGGCGCGAAAGCCAGGGGAGCGAACGGGAUUAGAUACCCCGGUAGUCCUGGCCCUUAAACGAUGGAUGCUUGGUGUCUGGAGUUUUAUAGUCUCCGGGUGCCGCAGCUAACGCGUUAAGCAUCCCGCCUGGGGAGUACGGUCGCAAGACUGAAACUCAAAUGAAUUGACGG
rnacentral:rRNA from 1 species